rnacentral:rRNA from 1 species
AAGCCCAGAGGAUUCAACCGGCUAGAGUGUAGUGAAUGCGCCUGCGCAUCGAACGGCCAGAGUAAGAUUGGAUAGUCUACUGGAAGACAGUAGGCCCUGCCGCAAGGUGGGGAUGUGUGCACCGGGCGGAGGCCGGAACACGCUAUCCGUCUAUGGGCUGCCUAGCCGGUGCACUUUCUCUGUGGUGAACACCACGACCGGUGGAACUGCCAGUCUGUCAUAGUCAAGUCGUAGUGGGCGGGCUUUCGGGUCUGCCUGCUGUGAUCACGGGCGUACUUGGUAAACGGCGUUAGUGCAUCUUUACGGUGUGCCGACGUGUUAUCGGCUACUAGUCGCUUUAUCGGGCCUGCUUAAUGCACGUUAUAGCCGUGUGUUUUGUGGUCUGGUGGACUUUGAUGGUAAUAAUAACUGUGCAGGGCACCGGAGUUUUCGGCCUCAAAUGCAGUCUGCAUGCGUGCUAUGAAUGUGUUUGUGGGUGUCGUCGCGAGCUGGCUGUUGUUGGAUUUGAUUGUCGUGUUGCCUGCGAAAAG